UAGAGACUUAGGAUAAACAAACCAAGGACCUUCAAAGUCCUAAAUAAGAGUCUCCCUCUUAGUCUCUGCCUAAAACCUAUAGAAUUAUUCUACAUCUCCUGAUUGCAACUCAGACAUUUUAAUUAAACUAAGGCUUCCAGGAGUCGGAGGGCCUCGAUCCCACAAAAAUUAGUUAACAGCUAACACGCCAACCAACAAGCAUCAACUCCACUAUCGUCUUUUUAAGCCCAAGGGCCAUAUUUCUAGCCACCAUUUGAUUUGCACUCAAAUAUUCACUUAAGCCAAU
rnacentral:misc_RNA from 1 species